UACGUAGGGUGCAAGCGUUGUCCGGAAUUAUUGGGCGUAAAGGGCUCGUAGGCGGUUUGUCGCGUCGGGAGUGAAAACUCAGGGCUUAACCCUGAGCCUGCUUCCGAUACGGGCAGACUAGAGGUAUGCAGGGGAGAACGGAAUUCCUGGUGUAGCGGUGAAAUGCGUAGAUAUCUGGAGGAACACCGGUGGCGAAGGCGGCAUCCUGGACCGGCAUUGACGCUGAGGCGCGAAAGCUAGGGGAGCAAACGGG
rnacentral:rRNA from 1 species